GGGAUGGUGAUGGUGUCCUGCGCGAGGCCAGCCGCAACGAGCAGACCAAGGUGUCAGUGGAAAACGGGGACGCCCCCAGCCCGGAGAAGAACGGCCCCCUGCCCUCGGAGCUGGAGGCGCUGAGCGCAGCGCUGCCGCGGCUCCAGGGCCCGGUGCUGGAGCUGGCCCCGUGUCCCCGUGGUGUCCC